rnacentral:RNase_P_RNA from 1 species
CCAGAUGGUCGGGCGACCGCUGUUGCAUGGAUUUUCCAUGCGAUGGAGGAAAGUCCGGGCUCCACGGAGGAACGGUGCCGGCUAACGGCCGGCGGGGGCGACCCCAGGGAAAGUGCCACAGAAAACAAACCGCCCCCACGGCAUUCCGGUUCGCCGGAGAUGGUGCGGGCAAGGGUGAAACGGUGCGGUAAGAGCGCACCGCGCGUGCGGUAACGCAGGCGGCAGGGCAAACCCCACCGGGAGCAAGACCGAAUAGGAACGACAGACGGGCCGCCUUCGGGCGGGGUCGUCGGGGGUCUCCGCCCCGUCGUUCGGGUUGGUCGCGUGAGGCGUGCCGCAAGGCGCGUCCCAGAGGAAUGGUCGCCCCCCUUCGUCAGAAGGUGGACAGAACCCGGCUUACAGACCAUCUGGCAUU